rnacentral:rRNA from 1 species
GGGGUACUCGAGCGGCGAACGGGUGAGUAACACGUGAGCAACCUGCCUUCAGCUCUGGGAUAAGCCUGGGAAACUGGGUCUAAUACCGGAUAUGACUCUUGCCUGCAUGGGUGGGGGUGGAAAGAUUUAUCGGCUGGAGAUGGGCUCGCGGCCUAUCAGCUUGUUGGUGGGGUGAUGGCCUACCAAGGCUUUUACGGGUAGCCGGCCUGAGAGGGCGACCGGCCACACUGGGACUGAGACACGGCCCAGACUCCUACGGGAGGCAGCAGUGGGGAAUAUUGCACAAUGGGCGGAAGCCUGAUGCAGCAACGCCGCGUGAGGGAUGACGGCCUUCGGGUUGUAAACCUCUUUCAGCGGGGACGAAGCGUGAGUGACGGUACCCGCAGAAGAAGCGCCGGCCAACUACGUGCCAGCAGCCGCGGUAACACGUAGGGCGCGAGCGUUGUCCGGAAUUAUUGGGCGUAAAGGGCUCGUAGGCGGUUUGUUGCGUCGAAAGUGAAAAUCCGGGGCUUAACUCCGGACUUGCUUUCGAUACGGGCAGACUAGAGGUAGGCAGGGGAGAGUGGAAUUCCUGGUGUAGCGGUGGAAUGCGCAGAUAUCAGGAGGAACACCGGUGGCGAAGGCGGCUCUCUGGGCCUUACCUGACGCUGAGGAGCGAAAGCGUGGGGAGCGAACAGGAUUAGAUACCCUGGUAGUCCACGCCGUAAACGUUGGGCGCUAGGUGUGGGGGACUUCCACGUUCUCCGUGCCGCAGCUAACGCAUUAAGCGCCCCGCCUGGGGAGUACGGCCGCAAGGCUAAAACUC